AUGGAGAACGGCGACGAAACCCUCGUCUCCCCCACCGCUGAGGCCGAGAAGGCUGCGCCCAACGGAGGCGUCGCGGGCGAGGAGGUCACCCUCGCCGACGCCGUCCACCCCGCCAAGUCCUACGCCGCCGUCGCCGCCAACGCCGAGAUCGAGGACCUCCGCGCCACCAAGCUCGACCUCGAGGAGCAGCUCGCCAACGCCAGCCAGGAGAACAAGACCCUCGCCGCGGAGGCCCACCGCCUCGAAGGCCUCUUCUCCCAGGCUCGGGACGACGUCGCCACCGCCGAGCACGCCGCCGCCACCACCGAAGAAGAGGUGGCCUCGCUCCGCGCCGAGGUCGAGCGCCUCCAGGCCCUCCUCGACCGCAAGAAGGCCGACCGUGAGGCGGACGAGCGCCAACGCCAGGAGCUCACGGCCGAGGUGGAGACCGUUCGUCAGGCGAAGCUCAAUCUCGAGAAGGAGGUCGACGCCCUGAAGGCUUCCGCCGCUGCUACCACCGUGGAGGACAGGGAGGCUGCUCCGGACGCUGGGGCCCCGAAGGAAGAGGGAGUCGCCUGGCAGGGGAUGGCAGCGGGGGCGGCCGCUGGUGCUGCCAUCACAGCUGCCGUCGUUCUGAUCUACCUCCGCCUCAAGAGGUAA
rnacentral:rRNA from 1 species